CAGCUAGUUGGCGGGGUAAUGGCCCACCAAGGCGACGACGGGUAGCUGGUCUGAGAGGAUGGCCAGCCACAUUGGGACUGAGAGACGGCCCAGACUCCUACGGGAGGCAGCAGUGGGGAAUCUUGCGCAAUGGCCGAAAGGCUGACGCAGCGACGCCGCGUGUGGGAGGACGCCUUUCGGGGUGUAAACCACUGUUGCCCGGGACGAACAGCCCUUUUCGAGGGGUCUGACGGUACCGGGUGAGGAAGCACCGGCUAACUCCGUGCCAGCAGCCGCGGUAAUACGGAGGGUGCGAGCGUUGUCCGGAAUCAUUGGGCGUAAAGGGCGCGUAGGUGGCGCGGUAAGCGUGCGGUGAAAGCCUGGGGCUCAACCCCGGGUCGGCCGUGCGAACUGCUGGGCUUGAGCACUGUAGAGGCAGGCGGAAUUCCGGGUGUAGCGGUGGAAUGCGUAGAGAUCCGGAAGAACACCGGUGGCGAAGGCGGCCUGCUGGGCAGCUGCUGACACUGAGGCGCGACAGCGUGGGGAGCAAACAGGAUUAGAUACCCUGGUAGUCCA
rnacentral:rRNA from 1 species